UGCAGCAAAAGUUGGGAGAAAGCGGCAAAGUCGGGACUUUUUUGAAUAUGACGAGGAGACAGAUAAAAGCAAGUGUGUUGUAGUGGAAACAGACUGUGACAAAAUAUGUGGUUUGCUUCGCAAGGGGAGAAACCCCACGAACCUCAAAGUCCAUUUAAGAAGCUCACACCAGGCGGCUAAUGUCGAGUAGCUACCAAAACAAGCUAGCUCCUGAGAGGCCGCCGCCCCCCGAAAGAGAAGCGACAUCCCGCCCAGGGUAGCACGGUGAAGGAGACAACUAUAAUGGACCGCUUUCACCGACGAGCGAAUAACUGCUGACGCUGUUGUUAUAGUGAGGAGCGAGUGCGCUGGAUUCUCCCUAGGAUUGCUCUUCUGAGAGGCUGCAGUUUAUUACAAAUGGGAAAGCUUUCAUUGCAGAUUGCCCCAGCGCUGCGUAGAGCAUCCCCAUACCUCAGACUCCAACAAUGGCAGUGUGUAUGACACAGUGGAGUGACUCCAGGGUUAGACUGCUGCACCCCAGAGUUAUGCUUAUAACACACCAAAUCACACACUCUCACACACGCACUUCUAUUCCGGGCCAGGUCCACCACCUGUCCUGGCCUGGGCUGCCUUUCCCCCAGCCAAGGAAGCUCAUGCCUGGGCACUCUGGGCAGCAGCCCAGCCUUUCACAUCCAGGUCCAGGGCCAAGAGACAGGGGCCAACAGCUGGCGGUGUGCAGAAGGAGCCUGGAGGCUUCCACAGCAGAUGAAUCACCACGGAUUAAUAUUUAACUCUAGACUCCUGCUUCCCUCAAGCA